rnacentral:lncRNA from 1 species
GUCAUAAACCUUGUGUCAAAAUUUCAUAGAUUUCUAUUCACUUAAACUAAAGUUAUAGUGCGAAAACCAAGAAAAUGCUUAUUUGGGCCCUUUUUGGCCCCUAAUUCCUAACAUGUUGGGACCAAAACUCCCAAAAUCAAUCCCAACCUUCCUUUUGUGGUCAUAAACCUUGUGUUAAAAUUUCAUUGAUUUCUAUUCACUUUUACUAAAGUUACAGUGCGAAAACUAAAAGUAUUCGGACGAUGACGACGACGACGCCAACGUGAUAGCAAUAUACGACCAAAAAAUUAAAAUUUUUGCGGUCGUAUAAAAAUGAA